CCGCUCUUAGCUCAGUAGGAUAGAGCAAUUGCCUUCUAAGCAAUCGGUCGCUGGUUCGAGCCCAGCAGAGCGGACC
rnacentral:tRNA from 1 species